AUUGAACGCUGGCGGCAUGCCUUACACAUGCAAGUCGAGCGGUAGCGCGGGGGCAACCCUGGCGGCGAGCGGCGGACGGGUGAGUAAUACAUCGGAACGUGUCCUUUCGUGGGGGAUAACCAGUCGAAAGACUGGCUAAUACCGCAUGAGAUCUCACGAUGAAAGCGGGGGACCGCAAGGCCUCGCGCGAUUGGAGCGGCCGAUGUCGGAUUAGCUAGUUGGCGGGGUAAAAGCCCACCAAGGCGACGAUCCGUAGCUGGUUUGAGAGAACGACCAGCCACACGGGGACUGAGGCGAGGCCCGGGCUCCUACGGGAGGCAGCAGUGGGGAAUUUUGGACAAUGGGGGCAACCCUGAUCCAGCCAUGCCGCGUGUGUGAAGAAGGCCUUCGGGUUGUAAAGCACUUUCGGCCGGAACGAAAUCGCGCGGAUUAAUAACCCGCGUGGAUGACGGUACCGGAAGAAGAAGCACCGGCUAACUACGUGCCAGCCGCCGCCGUAA
rnacentral:rRNA from 1 species